AUAAAAGAAAAAAACUGUAUUGAAAUUUGAAACCCUAGCGUGCCUCUUUUCCUUCACACUCCCUCCUCACGAUGCUCUACAGCGCCUCCCUCUUCAUCUCCGCCACCAUAAGCCUCCAUCUUCUCCUCCUUGAUUAGGCAUCGAGACUCUAUUUUCCCCUAUAGCCUCUUACCAUUCAUGACCUUUUUCCCUUUUUGCAACAGCCCCGGCGUUCGUUUUUCACAUCACAAGUGAGAACCAGUCACCACACACAAUCUCUAUAUCGUCCCUCACCGUUAUCUUCUUACAGCCUUCUCUUCCGUUGUGGCAUCUCACUUCUCAGAUUUAUUGUUGAUUGCUCUCUAAUCAAAUGAUUCAAUCUUAAGAUUGUAUAUGUGAAGAAAAAAUGAAACUUGAGAGGUGAUUUUAUCCAAUUUUUGUUGAUUUGGUUGGAUUCUUAUUUGACAAUUCUUAUUGUUUUGUUUAUGUUGUUUUGUAGCUACUGAACAAAUAAAGGGGACAACAAAUGAAUGAGGUUUUAACCAUUAACAAUAGUUAUAUCCUUUAAGUUGUAUGAUAAGGUUUGUGUUUUGUUUUGGUUUGUGGGUUGCUGUUCUGUAGUAGAAUUUUCUGGUUUUGGGGUACGGCAGCUGCAGAUGAGUCGGAUUACUAGUCUCGUAUCAGGUGUUUCUCUCAUUCCUCCCGAUUCAUUACUUCGGAGUGGUAGUAUUUUAGCUCAAAGUACUGGUUUUUAACUUUUAUUAUAAUUCUUUUGCUCACAUAUUUUGAUUGAACUAGCAUCAGAAAACUACUAUUUUUUAUUUGAGAUAUGGAAUAUUGGUUAAGAAUGAAUCUUUUAUGUUCUAAUGUUAAAUGGUAAUCAGUGCAUAAUUCUUGUUAUUUUAUACCUUAGGUUGGUUUCAAUUCUUUGCUUUUGAUCCAUACCUUCAACCUCUUCUAUGACAUCUUUGUCAUUGACACACAAUCAGACACUACUCAGUUAUAAUGCUAUUGUUUAUUUACGAUUUCUGAAGAACUUGAAAGUACAUGAGUAUAUAGGACAAUUGUUUUAGUCCACUUUUUCUAAGGAUUCUGCAAAACCUUUCAUCUGUCAAUGUCCAUUAACUGCUAUAAAAUUGGCUGGCUAGUACUUCCAAUUCCUCUAUACCUCCAUGGGCUAUAGGGUAAGUAAGUUAUGUUCUUUUUCUUGUGUUGAUUUUAAUGUUAGAGGUUUUAGUUAAGCAUAUGUGAUAACUUGAAUCAGUUUAAAUUAACGUUAAGAAGCUACAUCUAGAGGGAAGAUUAAAUCAAAUAGUAGAUAAAGAUCUAAUUUGAAAGUGACUUAGCUGAAUUGGAAGAAAUGGUACACGUUGCAUUCUUGUGUACACAUUUUAGGUGACUUUGUUGAUUAUGUGGAAUUGCAUAUCCCUGACUCUUAAGCAUCAAUUGUAAAUAUUAUAGUAUGUGACCAAACCUUCUAAAUUAGUAAUUGUCCUUUUUACCUUUUUUUUUUCCCUACAAUGUUGAACUGUGUGUUUGAUUUUGAUGAAGGGUGGUGGAAAGGUACAGUGGUCCUAUGAAAACUUCCUAAUUUUUCUUAUCGUUUAUCUUUUGUUUGGUUUGUGGUGUAUUAUAGGCAUGCUUAUGCAACAACUUUUCUUCUUUUGUUUAAAUGAGAAUAGGUUGCAGGUGACAGCAUAAACUUACUGAGGAUUCAAUUGAUGUACUUCAUGGGAUAUUUGGUUGGUAGAGGAGUGGAGUUAAAGCCAUUACUUUAUUAUUUAUUAUUUUCCUCUGCAGGAGUAACUGGACUGAUUACCUUUGGUAUUUAAUUUAGAUUUGAAUCCCUUGAAUAGAGUUGAUGCAUGUAGAAGUUUAUUGGGUAGAUGAAAAAGGGAAAAGGACUGUUGCGUGAACGUCAAACGUUGAAACUUGCUCUGAAAGAUGAAAAAGGGCAAAGGCUGUAAGAUUGAUUGUAUUUGGAGAUUCAACACCAUUUCACGAGGACGAAGUUUCGAAUGUUCAAGAAAGUUUAGCAAAUUCGAUUCUUGAAUUUAUAUGAAGUAGCCUAAGAUUGUUUAGAUUUAAUUUGGUUAGGCGUGUUUUGGUAGUAGUCUAAGAUUGUGUAGCUUUGCUUAGGCUUGUUUGUGCUUUUGUUUGGAGCAUAAGAUUGUUUAGUUUUAGUAGGAGAUAUUUAGAUCCGAUGGUACUUUCGGAAUAGUAUUUCAUGAAUAUUUUGUAACUUAAUUUAAGUACAAUUUGGUGGUAUGAUAUUUGGUUUUAUGAUAUUUUUUAUUGAAGGUAGUGAUGAAGUUUCGAUUUA